AGUGAACGCUGGCGGUAGGCCUAACACAUGCAAGUCGAACGGCAGCACAGUAAGAGCUUGCUCUUACGGGUGGCGAGUGGCGGACGGGUGAGGAAUACAUCGGAAUCUACUUUUUCGUGGGGGAUAACGUAGGGAAACUUACGCUAAUACCGCAUACGACCUACGGGUGAAAGCAGGGGAUCUUCGGACCUUGCGCGAUUGAAUGAGCCAAUGUCGGAUUAGCUAGUUGGCGGGGUAAAGGCCCACCAAGGCGACGAUCCGUAGCUGGUCUGAGAGGAUGAUCAGCCACACUGGAACUGAGACACGGGCCAGACUCCUACGGGAGGCAGCAUUGGGGAAUAUUGGACAAUGGGCGCAAGCCUGAUCCAGCCAUACCUCGUGGGUGAAGAAGGCCUUCGGGUUGUAAAGCCCUUUUGUUGGGAAAGAAAAGCAGCAUGUUAAUACCCCGCUGUUCUGACGGUACCCAAAGAAUAAGCACCGGCUAACUUCGUG
rnacentral:rRNA from 1 species